rnacentral:rRNA from 1 species
UACGAAGGGGGCUAGCGUUGUUCGGAUUUACCGGGCGUAAAGCGCACGUAGGCGGAUCGUUAAGUCAGGGGUGAAAUCCUGGAGCUCAACUCCAGAACUGCCUUUGAUACUGGCGAUCUUGAGUCCGGAAGAGGUGAGUGGAACUCCUAGUGUAGAGGUGGAAUUCGUAGAUAUUAGGAAGAACACCAGUGGCGAAGGCGGCUCACUGGUCCGGUACUGACGCUGAGGUGCGAAAGCGUGGGGAGCAAACAGG